rnacentral:rRNA from 1 species
GUGAAAUUGUUGAAAGGGAAACGAUUGAAGUCAGUCGUGCUGGCAUGAAAUCAGCUUCCGCAUCAGCGAGAUUGUUAGCGGAUGAGCCUAAAAACCAUCGCGUUGGCAUUUUUCGCGUGUGCGGUUGUGUACUUUCGUGUCAGCUGGUUAGCAUCAAUUUUGACUGUCAUAAAAAGGCUGGGGGGAUGUGGCUCCUUCGGGAGUGUUAUAACCCUUAGCGGAAUGUGAUGGACAAGAUUGAGGAUUGCAACGGAUGCCGCUUUGCCUGGCCUCUCGCCGGCAUCCUGGCGACGACAGCUUGCUGACGUUGUUGGGAACAGUUGACGAAAAGGUUAGAGCGGAGCAAUUCGUUAAGGAUGCUGACGUAAUGGCUUUAAACGAC